ACUGAAGGGGAGUUUAGAGUUACGAGAUUUAGGGAGUUAGAAGUUAGGAUUCUAUUUGUUUUUAUUAUUUUAAAAUCAAGCUUUGAAUCCUUAAAUCUCUCUGAAAAUUUUGAAAAAUUCCUAAGCCUUUGGCUGAAGGAUAUUCAAAUAUUUUCAAUUAAAUUUAUUUUUUUUAUUCAAAGCCAAAAAGAAGAUUUUUAUUCCUAGAACUCUAUAAAUAGGACCUAGCACCAAGCAUUUUUCAUUCAUCAAGCUAAGUUCAGAGGCUGCAAGUUGCUAGGUUAUUGUGAGAGUGUAAACACUUGGGUUGGGGAUUAUAAGCUUGAUCAUCAUAAGCUUAUCAAACACUUUGGGAAGUGAGGUUCGUUAGUAUCUCGGUUGUGGUUAGAUUGGUCUUUCAAGUCUUUGAGGAAAUCUAAGCUCUUGAGCACAUAAGUUUUGGAGUGUUCCAAAAAGUCCCAACUCAGUCCACAUAUCCCGGUAACUUUGGAAAAUAAGCUUUAGAGGCGGUAAGAUUCGUGACGCUUAGAGGAUGUGUAUCGAUGGUGGAUGGAGUCAAGGAGCCGAGCGUUAUUCGAUUCGAGGAUGUAGUCUUGUUUAUGUUUUUAUGGUUUUAAAUGUAUUUUCCACAUUUUCUAUGUAACUCUUUUUACUUUAAGUUAUUUUUGUUUUAAAGACAAUGGGUACCCAUAUCCUAUUUAUUUUAUGAAAGUAACCUUUGUUUCUACAAGUUUCUAAUAAAGUAUGGUAUUUCCGCAAAAA